rnacentral:rRNA from 1 species
GACGAACGCUGGCGGCGUGCCUAAUACAUGCAAGUCGAACGCUGAAGGAGGAGCUUGCUUCUCUGGAUGAGUUGCGAACGGGUGAGUAACGCGUAGGUAACCUGCCCGGUAGCGGGGGAUAACUAUUGGAAACGAUAGCUAAUACCGCAUAAUAGCUGUUGUUGCAUGAUAACUGUUUGAAAGGUGCAAUUGCUCCACUACCAGAUGGACCUGCGUUGUAUUAGCUAGUUGGUGGGGUAACGGCUCACCAAGGCGACGAUACAUAGCCGACCGGAGAGGGGGGUCGGCCGGACUGGGAGGGAGACACGGCCCAGACUGCUAGGGGAGGCAGCAAGAGGGAAUCUUCGGCAAUGGACGGAAGUCUGACCGAGCAACGCCGCGUGAGUGAGGAAGGUUGUCGGGUCGUAGAGCACUGUUGUAAGAGAGGAAAGAGUGUGAGAGUGGAAAGUUGACGCUGUGACGGUAUCUGACCAAGAAGGGACGGCUAACUACGUG